UGGCUCGAAGAUCAUGCAACAAUCUC
rnacentral:piRNA from 1 species